rnacentral:rRNA from 1 species
GAUGAACGCUGGCGGCGCGCCUAAUACAUGCAAGUCGAGCGAACAGAUGAGGAGCUUGCUCCUCUGACGUUAGCGGCGGACGGGUGAGUAACACGUGGAUAACCUACCUAUAAGACUGGGAUAACUUCGGGAAACCGGAGCUAAUACCGGAUAAUAUAUUGAACCGCAUGGUUCAAUAGUGAAAGACGGUUUUGCUGUCACUUAUAGAUGGAUCCGCGCCGCAUUAGCUAGUUGGUAAGGUAACGGCUUACCAAGGCAACGAUGCGUAGCCGACCUGGGAGGGUGAUCGGCCACACUGGAACUGAGACACGGUCCAGACUCCUACGGGAGGCAGCAGUAGGGAAUCUUCCGCAAUGGGCGAAAGCCUGACGGAGCAACGCCGCGUGAGUGAUGAAGGUCUUCGGAUCGUAAAACUCUGUUAUUAGGGAAGAACAAAUGUGUAAGUAACUAUGCACGUCUUGACGGUACCUAAUCAGAAAGCCACGGCUAACUACGUG